rnacentral:rRNA from 1 species
ACUGGGCGUUAAGUUGCAGGGUAUAGACCCGAAACCCGGUGAUCUAGCCAUGGGCAGGUUGAAGGUUGGGUAACACUAACUGGAGGACCGAACCGACUAAUGUUGAAAAAUUAGCGGAUGACUUGUGGCUGGGGGUGAAAGGCCAAUCAAACCGGGAGAUAGCUGGUUCUCCCCGAAAGCUAUUUAGGUAGCGCCUCGUGAAUUCAUCUCCGGGGGUAGAGCACUGUUUCGGCAAGGGGGUCAUCCCGACUUACCAACCCGAUGCAAACUGCGAAUACCGGAGAAUGUUAUCACGGGAGACACACGGCGGGUGCUAACGUCCGUCGUGAAGAGGGAAACAACCCAGACCGCCAGCUAAGGUCCCAAAGUCAUGGUUAAGUGGGAAACGAUGUGGGAAGGCCCAGACAGCCAGGAUGUUGGCUUAGAAGCAGCCAUCAUUUAAAGAAAGCGUAAUAGCUCACUGGUCGAGUCGGCCUGCGCGGAAGAUGUAACGGGGCUAAACCAUGCACCGAAGCUGCGGCAGCGACACUGUGUGUUGUUGGGUAGGGGAGCGUUCUGUAAGCCUGUGAAGGUGUACUGUAAGGUAUGCUGGAGGUAUCAGAAGUGCGAAUGCUGACAUAAGUAACGAUAAAGCGGGUGAAAAGCCCGCUCGCCGGAAGACCAAGGGUUCCUGUCCAACGUUAAUCGGGGCAGGGUGAGUCGACCCCUAAGGCGAGGCCGAAAGGCGUAGUCGAUGGGAAACAGGUUAAUAUUCCUGUACUUGGUGUUACUGCGAAGGGGGGACGGAGAAGGCUAUGUUGGCCGGGCGACGGUUGUCCCGGUUUAAGCGUGUAGGCUGGUUUUCCAGGCAAAUCCGGAAAAUCAAGGCUGAGGCGUGAUGACGAGGCACUACGGUGCUGAAGCAACAAAUGCCCUGCUUCCAGGAAAAGCCUCUAAGCAUCAGGUAACAUCAAAUCGUACCCCAAACCGACACAGGUGGUCAGGUAGAGAAUACCAAGGCGCUUGAGAGAACUCGGGUGAAGGAACUAGGCAAAAUGGUGCCGUAACUUCGGGAGAAGGCACGCUGAUAUGUAGGUGAAGUCCCUCGCGGAUGGAGCUGAAAUCAGUCGAAGAUACCAGCUGGCUGCAACUGUUUAUUAAAAACACAGCACUGUGCAAACACGAAAGUGGACGUAUACGGUGUGACGCCUGCCCGGUGCCGGAAGGUUAAUUGAUGGGGUCAGCGCAAGCGAAGCUCUUGAUCGAAGCCCCGGUAAACGGCGGCCGUAACUAUAACGGUCCUAAGGUAGCGAAAUUCCUUGUCGGGUAAGUUCCGACCUGCACGAAUGGCGUAAUGAUGGCCAGGCUGUCUCCACCCGAGACUCAGUGAAAUUGAACUCGCUGUGAAGAUGCAGUGUACCCGCGGCAAGACGGAAAGACCCCGUGAACCUUUACUAUAGCUUGACACUGAACAUUGAGCCUUGAUGUGUAGGAUAGGUGGGAGGCUUUGAAGUGUGGACGCCAGUCUGCAUGGAGCCGACCUUGAAAUACCACCCUUUAAUGUUUGAUGUUCUAACGUGGACCCGUGAUCCGGGUUGCGGACAGUGUCUGGUGGGUAGUUUGACUGGGGCGGUCUCCUCCUAAAGAGUAACGGAGGAGCACGAAGGUUGGCUAAUCCUGGUCGGACAUCAGGAGGUUAGUGCAAUGGCAUAAGCCAGCUUGACUGCGAGCGUGACGGCGCGAGCAGGUGCGAAAGCAGGUCAUAGUGAUCCGGUGGUUCUGAAUGGAAGGGCCAUCGCUCAACGGAUAAAAGGUACUCCGGGGAUAACAGGCUGAUACCGCCCAAGAGUUCAUAUCGACGGCGGUGUUUGGCACCUCGAUGUCGGCUCAUCACAUCCUGGGGCUGAAGUAGGUCCCAAGGGUAUGGCUGUUCGCCAUUUAAAGUGGUACGCGAGCUGGGUUUAGAACGUCGUGAGACAGUUCGGUCCCUAUCUGCCGUGGGCGCUGGAGAACUGAGGGGGGCUGCUCCUAGUACGAGAGGACCGGAGUGGACGCAUCACUGGUGUUCGGGUUGUCAUGCCAAUGGCACUGCCCGGUAGCUAAAUGCGGAAGAGAUAAGUGCUGAAAGCAUCUAAGCACGAAACUUGCCCCGAGAUGAGUUCUCCCUGACCCUUUAAGGGUCCUGAAGGAACGUUGAAGACGACGACGUUGAUAGGCCGGGUGUGUAAGCGCAGCGAUGCGUUGAGCUAACCGGUACUAAUGAACCGUGAGGCUUAACCUUACAACGCCGAAGGUGUUU